UUUUAAAUAGCUUAAAUUAAGAGCGUAGUAUUGAAGAUACUAAAGUAAUAUUUAUAUUUUUAAAAA
rnacentral:tRNA from 1 species